rnacentral:lncRNA from 1 species
AUUAUUUUUUAAAGAUUUUCUUUAUUUGAGAGAGAGAGAGUAAGAGAGAAGAGCAGAGGAAGGGGCAGGGGGGAGGAAAAAGCAGACUCCCCGCUAUGCAGAGCCUGACCCAGGGAUUAUGACCUAAGCCGAAGACAGACACAUAACCAAAUGAGUCACCCAGGCAUCCCUUCACCAUAUGAAAUUUAGGAGGGCACAGUUUAGCCCAUAACAUCAUUGGACAGAAGAAACUGAGGAGAGGGGUGAUUAGAAAACUUGCCUAAGACCACAAGAUCUCCAGGUUUGUUUUAUGACAAACUUAUGUUCUUCCCACCAUAACACAAGAAGACAAAAGUUAAUAUAUGAAAAAUAGGCAAACUUGCCUUAAGGAGAUUUGGCCCAGGGCAAUGGAGAUGUGAUGGCAGAAUGGUUUCAACACUAAAGUCUGAAUAGAAGAGCCCCUAGACUCUCUGCAGAAAGACCUAAGAAGGCUGCAUCAUGUUUGAAGUUUGUCCCUUGGGCCCUAGUAUUGCUGAAAUGUGACAUCCAGAAGUCUCCCACCAGAGCUGGUGCUGCUGAGAAAGCCAUCCAGAAGAGUCCCUAGAAAGGAGAAUGAGGGAGGGAGAAGGAUUCCACAGCAGGGACCAGCCAGGGGCUGAGCUGGACCCCAGAUUUCUAGGACAGUAUCAGAUCCUCGUAAUUGCACUGGGACUGAAUAAUCCAGGAUAAUCUCUCCAUCUCAA